CCUACGUGAGGCAGCAGUGAGGAAUAUUGGUCAAUGGCCGGAAGGCUGAACCAGCCAUGCCGCGUGAAGGUCAGUGCCCUAUGGGCGUUAAACUUCUUUUGUGCGGGAGCAAUAAUGGUCACGUGUGGCUAGACGAGAGUACCGGACGAAUAAGCAUCGGCUAACGCCGUGCCAGCAGCCGCGGUAAUACGGGGGAUGCAAGCGUUAUCCGGAUUUAUUGGGUUUAAAGGGUGCGUAGGAUGGGAGGUAAGUCAGCGGUGAAAUGCCCCCGCUCAACGGGGUGAAGUGCCAUUGAUACUGCCUUGCUGGAGUGCGGAUGACGUGGGAGGAAUGUGUGGUGUAGCGGUGAAAUGCAUAGAUAUCACACAGAACACCGAUUGCGAAGGCAUCUCACGGAUCCGCGAUUGACGCUGAUGCACGAAAGCGUGGGUAUCGAACAGGAUUAGAUACCCCUGUAGUC
rnacentral:rRNA from 1 species